CCUACGGGGGGCAGCAGUGAGGGAUAUUGGUCAAUGGGGGAAACCCUGAACCAGCAACGCCGCGUGAGGGAAGACGGUUUUCGGAUUGUAAACCUCUGUCCUCGGGGAAGAGAAUGACGGUAGCAGAGGAGGAAGCUCCGGCUAACUACGUGCCAGCAGCCGCGGUAAUACGUAGGGAGCAAGCGUUGUCCGGAUUUACUGGGUGUAAAGGGGGCGUAGGCGGCCUUGCAAGUCAGAAGUGAAAUCCAUGGGCUUAACCCGUGAACUGCUUGUGAAACUGUUGGGCUUGAGUGAAGUAGAGGCAGGCUGAAUUCCCGGUGUAGCGGUGCACUGCGUCGAGCUCGGGAGGAACACCAGUGGCGAAGGCGGCCUGCUGGGCUUUACCUGACGCUGACGCACGAAAGCGUGGGUAGCAAACAGGAUUAGCUACCCCUGUAGUC
rnacentral:rRNA from 1 species